CCUACGGGGUGCAGCAGUAGGGAAUCUUCGGCAAUGGACGAAAGUCUGGCCGAGCAACGCCGCGUGAGUGAAGAAGGUUUUCGGAUCGUAAAACUCUGUUGUUAGAGAAGAACAGGUAAGAGAGUAACUGCUCUUACCUUGACGGUAUCUAACCAGAAAGCCACGGCUAACUACGUGCCAGCAGCCGCGGUAAUACGUAGGUGGCAAGCGUUGUCCGGAUUUAUUGGGCGUAAAGCGAGCGCAGGCGAUCUUUUGAGUCUAAUGUGAAAGCCCUCGGCUCAACCGAGGAAGGUCAUUGGAAACUGGAGGACUUGAGUGCAGAAGAGGAGAGUGGAAUUCCAUGUGUAGCGGUGAAAUGCGUAGAUAUAUGGAGGAACACCAGUGGCGAAGGCGACUCUCUGGUCUGUAACUGACGCUGAGGCUCGAAAGCGUGGGGAGCAAACAGGAUUAGAUACCCUGGUAGUC
rnacentral:rRNA from 1 species